rnacentral:misc_RNA from 1 species
AACGCAUAUUGCGCCCGCGUCUUCGGACAAGGGCAUGUCUGCCUCAGCGUCGGGUUAAUACUCGCAAACAAUCCCCUGUGGUUUGUCUAUUGCGGAUCUGGCCGUCCCGAUUGAUUAAGUUUGGUCGGGUUGGCUGAAGAGCAGAGGUUGACGCAUGGACCCGAUUAUGGGCCGCAACUGGGUAGGCAAUUCGUUGCUAAUGCUUUAGUUGUUGGCUUGUGGACCGUGCAAUGUCGGCCCAAACCAGGAACCGAGCCUUGUGCUUGGCAUUAACCCUAUUUUCUCGACCUGAGCUCAGGCAAGAACACCCGCUGAACUUAA